CCUACGGGAAGCAGCAGUAGGGAAUUUUCGUCAAUGGGCGCAAGCCUGAACGAGCAAUGCCGCGUGAACGAGGAAGGUCUUCGGAUCGUAAAGUUCUGUUGAAGGGGGAAAAGAGCGGGGAGAGGAAAUGAACUCCGAUUGAUAUUACCCUUAGAGGAAGUCACGGCUAACUACGUGCCAGCAGCCGCGGUAAUACGUAGGUGGCGAGCGUUAUCCGGAAUGAUUGGGGGGAAAGGGUGCGUAGGCGGCCUGCUAAGUCUGGAGUGAAAGGUACCGGCUCAACCGGGAUAGGCUCUGGAAACUGGCGGGCUAGAGAGCAGGAGAGGGAGGUGGAACUCCAUGUGUAGCGGUAAAAUGCGUAGAUAUAUGGAAGAACACCAGUGGCGAAGGCGGCCGCCUGGCCUGUUACUGACGCUGAGGCACGAAAGCGUGGGGAGCAAAUAGGAUUAGAUACCCCUGUAGUC
rnacentral:rRNA from 1 species